AACACCUUUCUACAACAGCUCCGAAAUCCUUCAAGUAUUAUUACACUUUUAUUAAUUAAUCGUUUCCUCCGCGAGUAUUCUCCGUUCGAUUCCGUCUACCUCAGUCGCUCUUGCCGGUUAUAAUAUUGGCGACGAGGAAAAUUUACGAAAAGUGCGCGUGUGAGAAAAAAAGUGCUGUUCCCCGGGCGAUUGCCGGAUAGACUUUCUUCGCUAGGAGUGUGCAGUUUUGCCUCCGGGGCGGAGCGCGAUUUAAACAGCAGCGGCACAAAUGUUUAGACUGGUUGCAGAGCAGGUGGUAGAUAUCGGAAAAUUUCCGACGGUUUUCCCGGAGAAGCGGUAUUGAUAGCGGGGAUUGUCGACGGAUACAUUUUUCCCCUUUGGAAUUAAGGUCCGUGGAAGGUGCCGGAGCACAAAAAAAACUUUCGGGUUUUGUAUUAUUGGAUUGUGACUACAGUUGGAGGCGGAAUGACGGCCACGGUACUCCGAAGUCAAAUGAAGGCCGUUGGCGAUGCGCGCGUCCGGAGAUGUCAAUCGAUGAUGGUACAUGUCGAUCCCUAUGUCGAUGAUCCCGAUCCAUUACCACAACGAGGAACGCGUGUCGAUGAGGAGUCAGCAAAAAGCCCUUCCGGGGAUUCUCGGAGUGAGCAUUGUGGAGGUUCCAGUCGCCGGUCAAACCGCAUCGGAAAAAGAAUAAGUGAAUCGAAUUUGGCGCUCGAUGGCCUGCCGAGGCAUUCGAAAAGAACAAUCAGAAAGAAUAUUUUAAGCGAAUUUGAAUCAUUUUAGUUUUAAAUGAUCGAAUGUUUUUCUGUAAAUAUUUGCGAAUAAUUUUCCCUUCUAAGUCUUAUAGACUAUCUGAAAUCUUGAAAAAGGGAAGGAUUGAUAUGUACCUUAAAAUAACUAAAAGGUAUUUUCAGUGUACUGCUAUAAAACUCGUUUAUAGCAAACGAUCAAGACCAAUACCGAUCUAAUAAAUGGUCCGGCGACUGUCGGCCUCUUUCAACACGA